GUACACAAAAAUGCACAUGCUGUGAGCUCGAUGAGUAGGGCGGGACACGUGGUAUCCUGUCUGAAUAUGGGGGGACCAUCCUCCAAGGCUAAAUACUCCUGACUGACCGAUAGUGAACCAGUACCGUGAGGGAAAGGCGAAAAGAACCCCGGCGAGGGGAGUGAAAAAGAACCUGAAACCGUGUACGUACAAGCAGUGGGAGCACGCUUAGGCGUGUGACUGCGUACCUUUUGUAUAAUGGGUCAGCGACUUAUAUUCUGUAGCAAGGUUAACCGAAUAGGGGAGCCGAAGGGAAACCGAGUCUUAACUGGGCGUUAAGUUGCAGGGUAUAGACCCGAAACCCGGUGAUCUAGCCAUGGGCAGGUUGAAGGUUGGGUAACACUAACUGGAGGACCGAACCGACUAAUGUUGAAAAAUUAGCGGAUGACUUGUGGCUGGGGGUGAAAGGCCAAUCAAACCGGGAGAUAGCUGGUUCUCCCCGAAAGCUAUUUAGGUAGCGCCUCGUGAAUUCAUCUCCGGGGGUAGAGCACUGUUUCGGCAAGGGGGUCAUCCCGACUUACCAACCCGAUGCAAACUGCGAAUACCGGAGAAUGUUAUCACGGGAGACACACGGCGGGUGCUAACGUCCGUCGUGAAGAGGGAAACAACCCAGACCGCCAGCUAAGGUCCCAAAGUCAUGGUUAAGUGGGAAACGAUGUGGGAAGGCCCAGACAGCCAGGAUGUUGGCUUAGAAGCAGCCAUCAUUUAAAGAAAGCGUAAUAGCUCACUGGUCGAGUCGGCCUGCGCGGAAGAUGUAACGGGGCUAAACCAUGCACCGAAGCUGCGGCAGCGACACUAUGUGUUGUUGGGUAGGGGAGCGUUCUGUAAGCCUGUGAAGGUGUACUGUGAGGUAUGCUGGAGGUAUCAGAAGUGCGAAUGCUGACAUAAGUAACGAUAAAGCGGGUGAAAAGCCCGCUCGCCGGAAGACCAAGGGUUCCUGUCCAACGUUAAUCGGGGCAGGGUGAGUCGACCCCUAAGGCGAGGCCGAAAGGCGUAGUCGAUGGGAAACAGGUUAAUAUUCCUGUACUUGGUGUUACUGCGAAGGGGGGACGGAGAAGGCUAUGUUGGCCGGGCGACGGUUGUCCCGGUUUAAGCGUGUAGGCUGGUUUUCCAGGCAAAUCCGGAAAAUCAAGGCUGAGGCGUGAUGACGAGGCACUACGGUGCUGAAGCAACAAAUGCCCUGCUUCCAGGAAAAGCCUCUAAGCAUCAGGUAACAUCAAAUCGUACCCCAAACCGACACAGGUGGUCAGGUAGAGAAUACCAAGGCGCUUGAGAGAACUCGGGUGAAGGAACUAGGCAAAAUGGUGCCGUAACUUCGGGAGAAGGCACGCUGAUAUGUAGGUGAAGUCCCUCGCGGAUGGAGCUGAAAUCAGUCGAAGAUACCAGCUGGCUGCAACUGUUUAUUAAAAACACAGCACUGUGCAAACACGAAAGUGGACGUAUACGGUGUGACGCCUGCCCGGUGCCGGAAGGUUAAUUGAUGGGGUCAGCGCAAGCGAAGCUCUUGAUCGAAGCCCCGGUAAACGGCGGCCGUAACUAUAACGGUCCUAAGGUAGCGAAAUUCCUUGUCGGGUAAGUUCCGACCUGCACGAAUGGCGUAAUGAUGGCCAGGCUGUCUCCACCCGAGACUCAGUGAAAUUGAACUCGCUGUGAAGAUGCAGUGUACCCGCGGCAAGACGGAAAGACCCCGUGAACCUUUACUAUAGCUUGACACUGAACAUUGAGCCUUGAUGUGUAGGAUAGGUGGGAGGCUUUGAAGUGUGGACGCCAGUCUGCAUGGAGCCGACCUUGAAAUACCACCCUUUAAUGUUUGAUGUUCUAACGUUGACCCGUGAUCCGGGUUGCGGACAGUGUCUGGUGG
rnacentral:rRNA from 1 species